GGAAAGUUUGAAAUUGACUUUCUGUUCCACAGAAGGGUGAGUGACUGUAAGAUCAAGAUUCAGCACACGUGUGAGAAUGUGACUCCACUACAGAAAUACAGUUCACAAGAGGGAUUGAGGCUCUCACACAGAUUCAGUCCAGUGUUGAGAUUGUGACUGAUGUACUUAGACACAACACAAAGGGCAUGUUGGCUCUGUUACCUAGAACUGGGACAUGUGCUGGAUUCUUAAUUUAAUCUCUGGACCUUCCUGCAGGAGUGACAGUGACAUGUGUCUCUUUCCAGCACCUGAGUGAUUUGACUCUUUUGCUUGGGGCCUGCCCAAAUAUGAGUUUGUGACAUAUCACUAAAGGUAGCACCUAGGUGAUGUGACUCAUUCUCUUUACUUGGUGCUGGCCAUAAGAGACAUUUUGACAUAUCAUGGGCCUUGCAACCUGGUGGUACGAAUCUUCUCUUCUGUCUUUGUUUUUUUUUUAAGGCGGCAUUGUGACAUAUUGCUGCCCUGCAAAAGGGUUGUGUGACGCUCCUGCCUGUGCCCUGUCCACAUAGACCAUUGUAACAUAUUGUUGGGUCUAACACUUUGGUGAUGUAACUCUCCUGCCUGGUCCCUGCCUACAGAGGACAUUGUGACAUAUUUCUCUGCCCAUCACCCGGUUGAUGUGACUCACUUCUCCUGCCUGGUCUCUGCUCACAGAGGAGAUUGUGACAUAUACCUGGGCCCAGGACCUAGCUAAUUUGUCUUUUGUCUUUUUACAGCUUUCUGCCAACAAGAAAGAUAGUGAUAUAUAAUGGGGUUUAAUUCCAAGGUAUUAAUAAUAUUGCUAUUUUCCCUUGGCCCUGCUCUCAGAUGGAAUUGGGACAUAUUGAUAGGCCCCAGAAGCAAGGCGAUGUGAGUCUCCUGCCUGGAGCCUGUCCACAGAGGGCAUUGCUGCGUAUCUCUGAGCUCAUCAACUAUUUGAUAUGACUCUCCUUUUACUUGAGUUUUUUUAAAUAAAAGAGAUUUUGACAUAUCUGUGGGCCCAGCACCUAGGUGAUGGAACUGUCUUCUGCCUGAGUCACUCCCACAGAUGAGACAGUGACUUAUUUCUUGGACCAGCACACUAGUGAUGUAAUUUUCCUGCCUGAUUUCUGCACACAGAUUUCACUGUGACAUAUCUCUGGCCCCAUCACCUAUAUGAUUUGACAGUCUUCUUUGUUCUGGGACCUCUCCACAGUAGGCAUUGUGAUAUAUCACUUGGCCUAGCAGAGAGCAUUGUGACAUACCCGCGAGCCAAGCACACAGAUGAUGUUAUUCUGCUGCCUGUGCCCUGCUUUCAGGAGUGGAUUGCAAUGUAACACUGGCUGAGUACCCAGGUUAAUGACACUGUUGCCUGGUCCCUGUUCUCAGGGAAGACUGUAAUAGACCCCUGACCCAAUAUCCAGGGGACAUUGUGACAUACUUCUUGGCCAUGAACCCAGGUUAUGUGAGCCUUUCUGUGCCCUGCCCAUGUGGACAAUUGUGACAUAUUACCGAGUCCUACACCCAGGCGAUGCUACUCUCCUGUCUGGUCCUUGCCUACAGGGAACAUUGUGACAUAUCUCUUUGCCAUUCAUCCAGGUUCUGCCCACAGGGAAGAUUGUGGUGAAUUACUGAACGCGAUACCUAGAUGAAGGAGAGACUAUAACAUACCUCUUGGCCCAGCACCUAGUUGAUGUAACUCUGCUCUCCUGCCUGGGCCACACCUACAGAAGAAAGAGUGACUUCUCACUGGGCCAGCACACAGGUCAUGUUAUUUUACUGCCUUGAUCCUUGUCCACAAUAAUCAUUGUACAUAGUUUUGGGCUCUUCUACUAGAAGACGUGCGGGAUGGUUAAAUAUCACUGGACCUAGCACCUAGGGAAUGUGACUCUUGUCUUUUGCAUCAGCCCCACUCGUUUUGAGAACUGUAACAUAUCACUGGGCCAAACACCUAGAAGAUGGGAAGUGUCUGCCUAUGCCCUGCAAACAGGGCUUUAGCCCUACCACUCUCAAGAGCCUCGUGACAUAUCUCUGCAUUCAUCAUCUAGGAGAUGUGACUCCUCCCUGCUGCCUGCGCUCUGCCUACAGGGAAGACCAUAACAACAUUUGGCCCAGCAACACGGUGAUGUGUUUUUUCCCAGGGCCUUGCUCACAGGGAGCAUUGUGACAUAUCACUGGAACCAGCAUCCAGGGCUGUGACUCUGUGUCCUGCUGUUAGAACAGGAUUGUAACAUAUCACUGACCAAGCACCCAGGUGAUGUGACUCUUCUGCCUGGUGCCUGCCUUCAGGGAAAAUUGUGACAUAUGCCUGGCCUAGCACCAAAGUGAUGUGGCUCUCCUGCUACCUCUAUGCACAGGUGGGAUUGUGACAUAUACCUUCAUUCAGCUCAUAGGUGAGGUGAUAACUCUCAUACCACAAACCAAACAGUAGGAGAGAUGCUGUCUGUCAAAGCUAAGCUUACAGAAAUACACAAGAUUCAGGGACUUUUCUUUGUAUAAACAUUAUAGUAGAUUACUGCUCUCUUGUAUAUAAUAUAAACUUCUCAGGUGGUACAGAGAGUGUCAUCACAGGGCCCAGCGCACAGGUGAGAAUACAUUAUUUGUAUGCACGCCCCACCACCCAUUAGGAUUUUCACCCUCAAACAUGGAAAGAGCCUACUGGUAAGGUCUUGAAUCUCACACCUGGAUGCAGUCUACAGUUGAAAUUGUGAUUGUCAUAGGUGAAUAUCCAGCUGCAGUUGAGAUGGUGACUCAUUUCUAACUUAGCUCUGAGGCAGGUGAGGACUGUUUUAUUUGGAACCAGCCAAUUAUAAAGAUGUUGACUCUCAUAUUUGAGCUUAGUUCUACAGGUACAAUCAUGGGUCCAUAACAUCAUGAAGGUCAUAGAGCAGUUUGCAACUCUCAUUAAUACUGUAGAAGGCUCUUGGGUGGUACUGAGAGGGUCUUAGCAGAGCCCCGCACACAGGUGAGAUUGUGACACUCAUAUGCACACCCAGCCAACAAUAAAACUUUUCAUCUUUCCACAUGAACACAGCCCACUGUUGAGGUCCUGAGUCUCCCUUGUGAAAACAGUGCAAAGUUGAAAAAUUGACUCUUAUAUGUGGAUUUGGUUCACAGAUGGGUUGGUGAUGCUCAGACAAAUAUUCAGCACACCUGUGAGUCUGCGACUCCAGUAAUCAUCCACAGUCUGCAGGAGAAAUUGAGGCUCUCACCAACAAAUCAAGUGCACAAUUGAGAUUGCGACUCUUGUACUCAGACCCAACAUACAGAAUGUGUUGACUCUCAAUUUUAAAACCAGAACAUGUGUGAGAUUAUUAAUCUGAUCUCUAAACCAUCCUGCAAGUGUGAUUGUGACACAAGUCUCUGUUCAGUACUUGAGUGAUUUGACUCCUUUGCCUGGGCCCAGUCCAAAGAUGUAAUUGUGACAUAUCACUGAAACCAGCAUAUAGGAGAUGUGUCUCCAUACUCCUGCCUUGGUGCUGCCCACAGUGGGCACUGUGACAUAUCACUGGGCCUUGUAUCCAAGUGAUGUAAGUCUCUUCUUUCUUGAUACUGACCACAGGAGACACUAUGACAUAUCCCUGGGCCUCAAGCUCAGCUUAUGUCAUUCUCCUAUUUGUUCUCUGUCCACAUGGGCCAUUGUGACAUACUGCUGAGUUUGGCAUCCAUGUGAUAUAACACUUCAGCCUCAGCUUUGCUCACUUGGGGCAUUGUGAUGUAUCUCUGCACCCAUCACUUAGAUGAUUCAACUCUUUUCUUCUGUCUCAUCUGUGCUUAAAACGGGCAAUUGUUACCUAUUGCUGGGUCCAGCAUGUAGCUGAUGUGUCUCUUCUCAUCUUCCUAAGGACUGCCUGCAGGGGAUAUGGUGACAUUUUACUUUGCCCAGCACCAAGAUGACUUGAAUCUGCUGCCUUUGUUCUACUUUCAGAAGACAUUGUGACAUAUCGCUGGGCCUAGCACCAAGGUGAUGUGAAUCUUCUGCCUGGACCUGCUCACAGAGGGAAUUGUUACAUAUUUUUGACUUCAUCAACUAUUUGAUGUGACUCUCCUCUCUAACCUGGGCCUUGCCCAUAAAAAACAUUGUGGCUUAUCUCUGGGCCCAAAACCUAGGUGAUGUGACUGUCUUCUUAGGGUCAUGCCCACAGUAGAGAGAUGCCUUAUUGCUAAACCCAGCACACAGGUGAGGUGAUUCUUCUGUCUGGUCCCUGCCCACAGGGGUCAUGAUGACAUCUCUCUAAGCCCAUCACCUAGAUUAUGUGAGUUCUCUUUUUCUUCUGUUAGCUAUAUAGAAGAUUGUGACAUAUUGCUUGGCCCAGACCUCAUGUGAUGUGAAUCUCCUCUCAUGCCUUGGUCCUGUUUUUUUUUGGCCGUUGUUGUUUUGUUUUGUUUUUUGAGAUGGAGUCUUGCUCUGUUGCCUAAGCUGGA
rnacentral:lncRNA from 1 species